rnacentral:rRNA from 1 species
AGAGUUUGAUCCUGGCUCAGGACGAACGCUGGCGGCGUGCUUAACACAUGCAAGUCGAACGGAAAGGCCCUGCUUUUGUGGGGUGCUCGAGUGGCGAACGGGUGAGUAACACGUGAGUAACCUGCCCUUGACUUUGGGAUAACUCCAGGAAACUGGGGCUAAUACCGGAUAGGAGCUCCUGCUGCAUGGUGGGGGUUGGAAAGUUUCGGCGGUUGGGGAUGGACUCGCGGCUUAUCAGCUUGUUGGUGGGGUAGUGGCUUACCAAGGCUUUGACGGGUAGCCGGCCUGAGAGGGUGACCGGCCACAUUGGGACUGAGAUACGGCCCAGACUCCUACGGGAGGCAGCAGUGGGGAAUAUUGCACAAUGGGCGGAAGCCUGAUGCAGCAACGCCGCGUGCGGGAUGACGGCCUUCGGGUUGUAAACCGCUUUCGCCUGUGACGAAGCGUGAGUGACGGUAAUGGGUAAAGAAGCACCGGCUAACUACGUGCCAGCAGCCGCGGUAAUAC